rnacentral:rRNA from 1 species
UACAGAGGGGGCAAGCGUUGUUCGGAAUUACUGGGCGUAAAGGGCGCGUAGGCGGCCUGUUAAGUCGAACGUGAAAUCCCCGGGCUCAACCCGGGAACUGCGUCCGAUACUGGCAGGCUUGAAUCCGGGAGAGGUGAGUGGAAUUCCCAGUGUAGAGGUGAAAUUCGUAGAUAUUGGGAAGAACACCGGUGGCGAAGGCGGCUCACUGGCCCGUUACUGACGCUCAGGCGCGACAGCGUGGGGAUCAAACAGG